CCUGGAACUGGAGUUACGGAGAGUUGUUAGCUGCCAUGUGGGUGCUGGGAUUCGAACCCGAGUCUUCUGCAAGAACACUCAGUGUUAACUGCUGAGCCAUCUCUCCAGCCCUUAAACAGCAAUUUCUAAGAUCAACAUUCCAACACAAUCCUAAAAAGCCACCGUAUGUGCGCUGAGUAUUCUCAUCCUGAAGGCCUAGCUUGGAUCUGGAUCCUGCUCAGUUCACUGGAAUGCUCUUCUCUCCUAUGUUACAAAUCUGUACUUUGUAUAUUUUCCCCACCUGCCUAACACCAAAGAUAUAUCAGUUCAGAAUGUGAUCUACUGGUUAUAUGGAACUAAAUAAAAUGUCUGGUCUC